rnacentral:rRNA from 1 species
UACGUAGGGUGCGAGCGUUAAUCGGAAUUACUGGGCGUAAAGCGAGCGCAGGCGGUUUUGUAAGCCAGAUGUGAAAUCCCCGGGCUCAACCUGGGAGCUGCGUUUGGAACUGCAAGGCUAGAGUGUGUCAGAGGGAGGUAGAAUUCCACGUGUAGCAGUGAAAUGCGUAGAGAUGUGGAGGAAUACCGAUGGCGAAGGCAGCCUCCUGGGAUAGCACUGACGCUCAUGCUCGAAAGCGUGGGGAGCAAACAGGAUUAGAUACCCUGGUAGUCCACGCCCUAAACGAUGUCUACUAGUUGUUGGUGGAGUGAAAUCCAUCAGUAACGCAGCUAACGCGUGAAGUAGACCGCCUGGGGAGUACGGUCGCAAGAUUAAA